rnacentral:rRNA from 1 species
UGGUUGGCGGGGGGUAGUCGUUCGCGUACAUAGGGGCACCCUCGCGUGAUGUCAGCAAUACCUAGGUAACCCUUGAAUAAACUACCCUUGUUGCUUUGGCGGGCCGCCGUCUCGGCCAGCGGCUUCGGCUGCUGCGCGCUCGCCAGAGGACCACAACUCUUGUUUUUAGUGAUGUCUGAGUACUAUAUAAUAGUUAAAACUUUCAACAACGGAUCUCUUGGUUCUGGCAUCGAUGAAGAACGCAGCGAAAUGCGAUAAGUAAUGUGAAUUGCAGAAUUCAGUGAAUCAUCGAAUCUUUGAACGCACAUUGCGCCCUUUGGUAUUCCGAAGGGCAUGCCUGUUCGAGCGUCAUUAUAACCACUCAAGCUCUCGCUUGGUAUUGGGGUGCGCGGUUCCGCGGCCUCUAAAGUUAGUGGCGGUGCCUGUCGGCUCUACGCGUAGUAAUACUCCUCGCGUCUGGGUCCGGUAGGUUGCUUGCCAACAACCCCCAAAUUUUUUACAGGUUGACCUCGGAUCAGGUAGGGAUACCCGCUGAACUUAAGCAUAUCAA